rnacentral:rRNA from 1 species
AUACGGAAGGUCCGGGCGUUAUCCGGAUUUACUGGGUGUAAAGGGCGCGUAGGCGGGACGACAAGUCAGGUGUGAAAUACCGAGGCUCAACCUCGGGGCUGCACUUGAAACUGCCGUUCUUGAGUGAUGGAGAGGUAGGCGGCAUUCUCGGUGUAGCGGCGAAAUGCGUAGAUAUCGGGAGGAACACCAGUGGCGAAGGCGGCCUACUGGACAUUAACUGACGCUGAGGCGCGAAAGCGUGGGGAGCAAACAGGAUUAGAUACCCUGGUAGUCCACGCUGUAAACGAUGGAUACUAGGUGUGGGGGGACUUACCCCCUCCGUGCCGCAGUUAACACAAUAAGUAUCCCACCUGGGGAGUACGAUCGCAAGAUUGAAACUCAAAGGAAUUGGCGGGG